CAUUACUGAGCGCACUCGUGCCCGAAGCGUCAAGUUCGAAGCGUAAACAAGGGCAAAUGAAUGAAGCGUUUGUGCGCAUGUGCACCUUAGACGGGUAUGGAGAGCAUUAGAAGGUUAAGGUGGCAUUUUGGGCUGCAAUUUUAUACACAUGUAUUGAAACCCGUAUUUAUAUAUAGGACUGCACAAAAAGAUCUUAAGGAAAAAGCACCUAUGAAGAAGCUUGGGGUCAAGUAUGUAUGAACUAUUUAAAGACAGAAAAUGCAAGGUAACUAAGAACUAUAAAGACAGUUUCCUGAGAAUAAAUUGCAUUGAAAAUUGCAGCCCAACAUCUUGAAUAAAUAACCUGAACUGAAACUACAGACAACUGGCAACAUUAAGGAGCAAAAAAUGGAUAAGCAAAAAUGUAUGUAAAACACUACUUUCUAAAACACAGUACCUGUUGCAACCUGGAUGUUACUUAACCAUGCAUCUAAAACAUUGUUUUCUAAAACUGUAGGGUAACUGUUGCAACCUGGAUGUUACUUAAUGAAGUAGCAAUCCUUGGCAUCCUACAUAUUUUCUGUUACUCCUCACUCUGAAGAAAAUAUGACUGCAAAGGAAGAAGAGCUAAGGGCAGAAUACAAAAUUAACCUACUGGUCCAAGUAUUUUGUGGAAAAAAAAUAGCACAUUGUCAAAUAUUAUGUACCCAAAAUAUGUUCCAUCUCUGUCAAUAAAAUAUCUGCCCUCCGCAUCUGUUGGGAUGUAAUGCCGGCCACUGAACAUGGCUGACAACAUGGUGUCUUCAUGACGUCUCAGUGUUGACAGCCUGGUCAUGAAAUGGGUGCCUCC